rnacentral:rRNA from 1 species
AGCUCCAAUAGCGUAUAUUUAAGUUGUUGCAGUUAAAAAGCUCGUAGUUGGACCUUGGGCUGGGCCGGCCGGUCCGCCCCACGGUGUGCACCGGCCUUCCCGUCCCUUCUGCCGGCGAUGCGCUCCUGUCCUUAACUGGACGGGUCGUGCCUCCGGCGCCGUUACUUUGAAGAAAUUAGAGUGCUCGAAGCAAGCCCACGCUCUGGAUACAUUAGCAUGGGAUAACAUCACAGGAUUUCGGUCCUAUUGUGUUGGCCUUCGGGAUCGGAGUAAUGAUUAAGAGGGACAGCCGGGGGCAUUCGUAUUUCAUAGUCAGAGGUGAAAUUCUUGGAUUUAUGAAAGACGAACCAUUGCGAAAGCAUUUGCCAAGGAUGUUU